UACAGAGGUCUCAAGCGUUGUUCGGAUUUAUUGGGCGUAAAGGGCGCGUAGGCGGCGCGGUAAGUCGGGUGUGAAAUCUUGGAGCUUAACUCCGAAACUGCAUUCGAUACUGCCGUGCUUGAGGACUGGAGAGGAGACUGGAAUUUACGGUGUAGCGGUGAAAUGCGUAGAUAUCGUAAGGAAGACCAGUGGCGAAGGCGGGUCUCUGGACAGUUCCUGACGCUGAAGCACAAAGGCCAGGGGAGCAAACGGG
rnacentral:rRNA from 1 species